rnacentral:misc_RNA from 1 species
UUUUUUUAUCGAGAGGU